AACGAACGCUGGCGGCAUGCCUAACACAUGCAAGUCGAACGGGAUCCUGGUUUCGGCCAGGUGAGAGUGGCGGACGGGUGAGUAACGCGUGGGAACCUGCCCAGUGGUGGGGGAUAACUGCGGGAAACUGCAGCUAAUACCGCAUGAGCCCGCAAGGGGAAAGAUUGAUCGCCAUUGGAGGGGCCCGCGUUCGAUUAGGUAGUUGGUGAGGUAACGGCUCACCAAGCCUACGAUCGAUAGCUGGUCUGAGAGGAUGAUCAGCCACACUGGGACUGAGAUACGGCCCAGACUCCUACGGGAGGCAGCAGUGGGGAAUAUUGGACAAUGGCGCAAGCCUGAUCCAGCCAUGCCGCGUGAGUGAUGAAGGCC
rnacentral:rRNA from 1 species